GAUGAACGCUGGCGGCGUGCCUAAUACAUGCAAGUCGAGCGAACAGACGAGGAGCUUGCUCCUCUGACGUUAGCGGCGGACGGGUGAGUAACACGUGGAUAACCUACCUAUAAGACUGGGAUAACUUCGGGAAACCGGAGCUAAUACCAGAUAACAUGUUGAACCGCAUGGUUCAACAGUGAAAGACGGUCUUGCUGUCCCUUAUAGAUGGAUCCGCGCCGCAUUAGCUAGUUGGUAAGGUAACGGCUUACCAAGGCAACGAUGCGUAGCCGACCUGAGAGGGUGAUCGGCCACACUGGAACUGAGACACGGUCCAGACUCCUACGGGAGGCAGCAGUAGGGAAUCUUCCGCAAUGGGCGAAAGCCUGACGGAGCAACGCCGCGUGAGUGAUGAAGGUCUUCGGAUCGUAAAACUCUGUUAUUAGGGAAGAACAAAUGUGUAAGUAACUAUGCACGUCUUGACGGUACCUAAUCAGAAAGCCACGGCUAACUACGUGCCAGCCGCCGCGGUAA
rnacentral:rRNA from 1 species